CAAAAUCGUCCCUUUCAAUGGAGCUUCCGCUGUUUUAAUCAUGAAGCCUCAUCCGAAAUUGGUUCGCGGCACGGAGAGGUAAGGUGUUGGCAGAAUUUGGCAGCUGAAAUGUAUAGCCACGAGUUGAAGAAUGCGAGAUUAAUUGCAUAAUUUAACCAUCGAGAAGAGACGUCAUGAGCGCGCGUGUUCUCUCCACCGUUUUCCGAACUUGAGCUCUGAGGCAUUCGGAGUGCAUCCAGUCGCAAUUCGCAACAUUGAGAAAUGCGGUGUGCUAAACACACCGUCGGCUCAGAUGCACACAGUAAAUGCGUUUUCCUCGUGAAAAUCGUUUCCAGUUUGUUCGCUCUGUUUUUCCUCAUUUCCCCCUUACCCACUUUAUUACUACUCGACCACCCGCGGUGAGUCCUGCCUUCAUUUCUGGGGUAAACUCAAAGGACUUAGAGUAAAACUUUCUACCUUCUGAGCUUCUCGGGAGCUGCAAUAACUUGGAAUGCAACGUUGUAUCGGGAUGUAUCGCAACAAAAUGUUCUGCAGCAGGUAUCGGGAGUCGUAUGCCAAGACGUGGAUGUCUCUAAUCACGACCAAACCUCCUCCAUCAAUACCCAUGACACGUGCGUAAUAGUUUGGGCAGAGCCUGGUUGUAAAGGGAACCACAAGAAGAUACAACCUGGCACUCCACAUCAUGAUGAUUUUAAUCAGCUCGGGUUCAACGAUAUCUUGUCAUCGGUUGGGUCUUGUUGAAAAAGGAAAGAAAAUUGUCGUGCAUUUGGUAGCUCGCUGAAAAAAAAUCGACUCUUUUCAACGAAGAAAUCUGUUUUCUUGACAGCAUCCUGUUGCGCUGAAAUAAUGCUCCUUUAUUUCGUCAAAUAUCGCCCGGAGGUUCAAAUAUUUAUUGCCUUUCUAAAGCACGAACUCUAAAAUGUAAUGAGACAGCUAAGGUUAUUUUAAACACCUGCUGGUUAUUAUAGGAAGUGAAGCUUCAAACAAAACAAAUUUUGUGUUUAUCGUGUCACAGUUUGCGGUGAAUUUAGCGCCGUAAACAAUGGAGGGGUUUGGAAAAUUCAUUCCUUCGAAUAGCGUAUCGGUAUUCACCAUUCUUUUUUUUUUUUUUUUUUUUUUUUAAUUGCCGCGAAAAAAUAGCUGGCAUUUUCUCUUGAAAGUGUCAAGAAGGGACAAGAAGACAAGGGUUUUUUGUUGUGUUAUUUUCCGUUUUGACCAAAAUUUUGUGUUGAAAUUCUCUCAGUGUACAGUUACAACCAAGAACGAAAAAGCGAACGAAAAAACAUAGGAUAAAAUAACGAUGAAUUUCAGCAAUAGCCUAAAAUUAAUUUUGAAUCAUAAGCAAUGAUUCAGUGGAAAUUUAUUCAACGGUAAUAAUUUUGUUAAAAACCAGUGUGAUGUUCUUUUUCUUCUUUGUGCGAAAAAAAAUUCUAUGAAUACUGUAAUUAAUUAUUUCAAUUUUCCCCGUAAAACAUAAAAUCGGAACGGAGAUAUCAAAACUAUGGAAACGAGAUACGCAUUUCGCGGUCUGGAAGUUUCACCGUCGUUAUAUCCGCAUCUUUCAUCGAUUAUCGAUAUUUCCUCAUUUGUAGCUAUGGUAUAAAGAAUCGAUUAUUAAGGUGUUCGCUGCAAACACCCUGUCUAUCGAUCCUUUCCCGUGGGUUU
rnacentral:lncRNA from 1 species